rnacentral:rRNA from 1 species
UACGGAGGGUGCAAGCGUUAUCCGGAUUCACUGGGUUUAAAGGGUGCGUAGGCGGGUUGGUAAGUCCGUGGUGAAAUCCCCAAGCUUAACUUGGGAACUGCCGUGGAUACUUUCAAUCUUGAAUAUCGUGGAGGUAAGCGGAAUAUGUCAUGUAGCGGUGAAAUGCUUAGAUAUGACAUAGAACACCAAUUGCGUAGGCAGCUUACUACACGAUCAUUGACGCUGAGGCACGAAAGCGUGGGGAGCAAACAGG